GAUUUGCUAACCUCCCCGUACCCACCUUCACAGUAUCCACAGAAAAAAAUCUCCACAUUAUCUCAACCUCCUCCGUCCAAGAAGCACGCCGCCAAGCAAAUCUCUUCUCUCCGUGACCACAACGUUGCCGCCGCCGCCACCUCUGAUUCUGGCUUGCUCCGGCGCUUGUUGCGCCGCCGCUCACAGAAACGGCUACUCCUCACUGCCCUCCCCUUGAUCCCCCGCCAUGGCGACUUCCUCCGCGCCCCUACAUGCGGGCCACAGCAACCCUAGUUACCAUAGGUCGCCAGCGGCCGCGCCUCAUCCGCUUUGUCACCCUACAGCCCCGCGCUACGUCUCUGCACGCGCCGCUCCAAGCUCGGCCAUGGUGGUGCUGAUCCGCCUCAGCAAUCUUGACUCCGACGCCGCUGACGAUUCAGCAAGACUCUCCUCCUCUGACCCGCUCUUCUCUUACACUAUUUGGUUCUUUCUGUGGCAGGUCAUGGCGAAUUCUUUGCCGCCCAAUCUGACGACAAUCGACGCUACCUUGAUUACUCAUCUUGAUCCACAUCCCAGCAACGACAUCAAUGUCGCUGCACUUGUUAAUCAGAGGAUGCCUAACAUGACAGUAAUGAUCUGCGUGGGGUGUUAAUCGGAGAGACGAGAUGGCUAUAUCUUUCAGAAUAUUUUCACUGGUGGCAUGUUCGUCUGCUGGAAGCAAUUCGCCUAGAGGGGAAAGGGCGUCCGUUGUACCGGAGUUACAGGUGUUGGCCUCUAGCUUGCUGUCAAAGAGAUGCUCUUGCAGGGAACCAGAGCAAUGCUUUAAUUCUUGCGAACGCAUCAAUGCAAUGCAAGUGUGGCACCCCGAUCCGCAUGGAGCAGGAGGCCUUCGCACGUCAGCCCAGGAUUACGUCUGACGCACGACAGGUCCAUGAUACAGCAUUCCAGCCCUAAGGCUAUUUACAUGGCAGCGGAAGUCCAUAUAAAUGGCGGCGGAAGUCUUGGUUUGGCAGCGUCUUAUUAAGGCUGGGCUCCAUAACGCACAGGACUGGCAUGAUUACGACCUAGCACGACGGAACAAGCGAACGACCUACAAAACUGGCAUGACACGCCAGUGGCGCACUGCCAGUCAGUUCCAGUACUGAACAAUGGGCAGGGUGGUGGUCGUUCAUGCUAUAACAAUGUCAUAGAAGGCAUCCUCGGGAAGUUCAUAGAGAAGCUUGUCAUCCAGCAUGAAGGGUGAUGAAGACGAAGAUGAUGCAUGGCUAAGUUGUUGAUAGGAAAGGUGUAGAAUGGGGCUAAUACAAGAUAGUUUUAGAUUUACCUUAUACAAUGUCAUUUUCAUGCUUAAUAUGUAGGAGAUCAUGUACUAUCUUUUUCAGAUUGUGUUCCAUGUAAUGCAACCGAGUUGAUUAAAUAUAUGAAAUCUUUCUGUUUA